rnacentral:rRNA from 1 species
CACAGAGUUAGCCGAUGCUUAUUCCUCAGAUACCGUCAUUGUUUCUUCUCCGAGAAAAGAAGUUGGCGACCCGUAGGCCUUCCACUCCACGCGGCAUUGCUCCGUCAGGCUUUCGCCCAUUGCGGAAAAUUCCCCACUGCUGCCUCCCGUAGGAGUCUGGGCCGUGUCUCAGUCCCAGUGUGGCUGAUCAUCCUCUCGGACCAGCUACUGAUCAUCGCCUUGGUAAGCUAUUGCCUCACCAACUAGCUAAUCAGACGCGACGCCCCUCCGUUGGGCGGUAUUUCUCCUUUUGCCUCCUCACGUCCGUACGGGGUAUUAGCCAACCGUUUCAGUUGUUCGUUCCCCUCCCGAAGGGCUAGGUUUCUUACGCGUUACUCACCCGUUUCGCCACUCGGAAACCACCCUACCUUUCCCGGUUCCGACUUGCAGUUGUU